rnacentral:lncRNA from 1 species
UAUUCAGGUGAUGGUUCUGAAGGAGGAAAUAUCGAAGUUGGAGAAACUGCAGUCGGAUCUGAAGCAGGAGGCGGUGAAAAAGUCGGAAAGUCUGAAGAACGAGAUCGAGGAGACCAAGAAAGAGAUUAUCUUCCUGAAGAGGAGCGGCUGCAAAACCGAAGAAACCAAGCAGCAGAUUGAUCGGCUGCAGGUGGAGGUUAAGGCUAAAGAGCGAGAACUGGAGAAGCUGAAGAAGAACACGGAGGCGGAGCUAGACCAGUUAGCGGAGAAGCUAGCGCAGAUCGCUAAGAAACUGGAGUCCAGUGGAGUCGAACUGAAGAAGAAAGAUGCUCAAAAUGCAGAACUGAUUCAGCAGUUGCUUGAUUUGGGACAGAAGCUGAAAGACUCUCAAAGUGGUCAAAACACAAUAAAAGAAGAAGCAGAAAAACAAAUUAACGGUACGUUUACUCCUAAAUAUACAUAUAAAUACAUCUCCACCAUAAUCACCUGUUCUCUGUGCAUUACUAUACAUUACACUGUAAUAAUAUUUGUUAUAUGGCAGUAAGAAUGUAGAUGUUUGAGAUAAAUUAUAAUUCUGUAAAUUAAAUUUUAUAGAUCUUAAAAUUAAACUGAAGAAUAAGGAGGUCGAGCUGUCACAGCUGAAGAUCAGUAAUUCAGGUAAUAUCACUUCAUUAUAUAUCUACUCAAAUAUCUAUUUACUCCUUCAUCCAUGUCCAAAUAACCAUCCAUCCAUCCAACCAUCCAUCCAUUCACCCAA